rnacentral:rRNA from 1 species
AAUUGAGUGGCGGACGGGUGAGUAUAACGUAGGAAUCUACCUCAAAGUGUGGAAUAGUUCGCCGAAAGGCGGAGUAAUACCGCAUGUGAUCCGCCUUUGGCGGAUUAAAGGCCUGUUAAACGGCCGCUUUGAGAGGAGCCUGCGCCCUAUCAGCUAGUUGGCGGGGUAAAUGCCCACCAAGGCGAUGACGGGUAGGGGGUGUGAGAGCAUGACCCCCCACAAGGUCACUGAGACACGGGACCUACACCUACGGGUGGCAGCAACUGGGAAUCUUGCGCAAUGGACGAAAGUCUGACGCAGCGACACCGCGUGUGGGAUGAAGUAUUUCGGUAUGUAAACCACUGUGAUAAGGGAUAAAGAUCUGAUAGUACCUUAUUAGAAAGCAUCUGCUAACUACGUGCCAG